UCUUUCCUACGGGGGGCAGCAGUGGGGAAUAUUGGGCAAUGGAGGCAACUCUGACCCAGCAACGCCGCGUGAAUGAUGAAGGUCUUCGGAUUGUAAAGUUCUUUUCUAAGGGAAGAAGAAAGUGACGGUACCUUAGGAAUAAGCCUCGGCUAACUACGUGCCAGCAGCCGCGGUAAUACGUAGGUGGCAAGCGUUAUCCGGAUUUAUUGGGUGUAAAGGGCGUGUAGGCGGGAAUGCAAGUCAGAUGUGAAAACUAUGGGCUCAACCCAUAGCCUGCAUUUGAAACUGUAUUUCUUGAGUGCUGG
rnacentral:rRNA from 1 species